GAGAGCAUCCCAGGACCACUGAACAUUCAGAGAACAGCCAGUUGUAAGGGGUAAAAUAAAUUGGAGAAGAGAACAUCCACAUGGAUUAAGUCCCAAGCUCACCCUUUGUUAGUGAGAAUGUAGUCACGUGGCCAUACCUACUACAAGACUCAGCCUGCCUGCACCCAGGUGAAAUAAACAGCAUUUUUGCUCACACAUAGCCUGUUUGGUGGUCUCUUCACAUGGAUGCGCAUGAAAUUUGGUGCUGUGACUCGGAUCCGGAGACCUCCCUUGGGAGAUAAAAUCCCCUGUCCUCCUGCUCUUUGCUCCGUGAAAAAGAUCCACCUACGACCUCAAGUCCUCAGACCCACCAGCCCAAGGAACAUCUCACCAAUUUUAAAUCAGCAAAAUGACAUGAAUGACUGAAAAAGCAUGUGGAGCACAAGACUCAAGAACUAAGUGAAAGGACUCACACUUCCUGAUUUCAAGUAAAGCUACAGCAAUCAAGACGUGGCAUUGAUGUAAGAAUAGACACAUCAAUGAAUGAAACAGAAUACAUCUUCCAGAAAUAAAUUCACACAAAUAUAGUCAAGAGGUUUUUUGUGUGCUAAAGUGUAUAUAAUAUUUACCAUUUUAACCAUUUUUAAGUGCACAGUUCAGAAGCAUUAAGAAUAAACAAUGUUGUAUAACCAUCACCAUUAUCCAGUUCCAGAAUUUUUCAUCACCUCACACAGAAACUCUGUACCUAUUAUCAACAAUAAAUUUUCAUUCCCCCCUUGCCCUCAGUCUCUGGUAACCACUAUUGAACUUUCUGUUUCUAUGAAUUUGCCCCUUCUCAGUGCCUAAUAUGAGUGGAAUAAUACAAUAUGGGUCCUUUGUGCCUAGUUUAUUUCACUUACUGUAAUGUUUUCAAGGUUCAUCCAUGUUAUAAUAUGGAUCAGAAUUUUAUUUCUUUUCAAGCAUGAAUAAUAGUCCAUGGUAUGUCUAUACCACAUUGUUUAUCCAUUCAUCAGCUGAUGGAUAUUUGGGGGUUGUUUCUAUCUUUUGGCUAUUGUAAAUGAUGAUGUUAUGAACAAUGGUGUAUAAUGUCUGUUUGAGCACUGCUUUGAAUUGUUUGGGGUAUAUACUUAGGAGCGGAAUUACUGGAUCAUAUGUCAAUUCUAUGUUUAAUUUUUGAGGAACUGUCGAGCUGUCUUUCACAGCAGCUGCAUAAUUUUACAUUCCCACCACAAUGCAUAAGAGCUUCAGUUUCUCAAAAUCUUUACCAACAUUUAUUUUUCUUUUUAAAAAUAUAUAAUAGCCAUACUAAUAGUAUAAAGUAAUAUUUCAUUGUGCAUUUGAUUUGCAUUUCCCUAAUGAUAACUGAUGUUGAGCAUCUUUUCACGUGCUUGUUGACCAUUUGUAUAUCUUCUUUUGAGAUAUGUCUAAUCAAGUCCUUUGUCCAUUUUUUAAUUGGGCUGGGUAUUAUUCUUCUGUUAUUGUUGAGUUGCAGGAGUUCUUUAUAUAUUCUGCAUAAAAGUUCCUUA
rnacentral:lncRNA from 1 species